UGCCCAAUUCCAAUUCGACUAUCUAAUAUACCCGUUUUCCAUUGCAGCAUUUGUGGGCACAAUGUAGAUACUAUAAUAUAUUUUAAAAUCACAUAAACAAUCGAAUCAAGGCACUAGCCUGUUAUGGCCACAGAACUCAAUAGUUCCGCACCGUCGCCCAAAAACCAGAUUAUUAAUUAAUUGAAGCAGGUUCAUUGGUAUGCAUGAAACACGUUCAAAGAUGUCAACAUCAUACAAUGCAGGCCUGAGGAGAUCCAGUUAUGCUGCCUGAGACCAGGCGAUUUGCAUAAAACGGAAUGAUAAGCUGGACACCUGAUUUCGAAACUAUUGAUAACAAAAUGAUAUUGAUAUAUCACUGAAUCAAGUGAUCAAAAUAAUAUAUUUUUGCUCUAGAUAAAUGUAGGCAACGAUCGACUGGAUAGAAAUAUAAGCUUCACUUACUCUCCUCACCUUCCUAUAAAAUCUUCAGUUCGUCAGUUCACUCGGUUAAAGUCCAAGCAAACUGAUAAGACAGUAAGGCCACGAAGUUAAUCUUCCGGCUGCAAAAGCCUGUCCAGCGUUUACCAUUAUCUUUUGUACCGUGCCUUUUACUUCUGACUCGGUCAGAAAAAUACCUCCGCCUGGGUAGGGUUAUCAAAGGGCAAUAAAUCAUACUGGCUGCGGUUGCGAAAAUAAAAUAAUGUUGAACCAUAAUUGAUCAAAUCAAUUCCAUAUAAAGAGAUGAAAU
ensembl:ncRNA lncRNA:CR44185 long non-coding RNA:CR44185